AGGCCAGACAGCACUAACAGGAUCCCUAGUAACGGCGAGUGAAGCGGGAAGAGCUCAAAUUUGAAAUCUGGCACUUUCAGUGUCCGAGUUGUAAUCUCGAGAAGUGUUUUCCGCGCUGGACCGCAUAUAAGUCUGUUGGAAUACAGCGUCAUAGUGGUGAGAACCCCGUAAAUGAUGCGGACGCCCAGUGCUUUGUGAUACACUUUCGAAGAGUCGAGUUGUUUGGGAAUGCAGCUCAAAUUGGGUGGUAAAUUCCAUCUAAAGCUAAAUAUUGGCGAGAGACCGAUAGCGAACAAGUACCGUGAGGGAAAGAUGAAAAGCACUUUGGAAAGAGAGUUAACAGUACGUGAAAUUGUUGGAAGGGAAACGCUUGAAGUCAGACUUGCUGUUUGGAAUUCAGCCGCAAGGUGUACUUUUCAGAUAUGCAGGCCAGCAUCAGUUUUUGGGGGUGAAAAAGGGUAUUGAGAAGGUAGCAGUUUCGGCUGUGUUAUAGCUCUUUACUGGAUUCAUCCUUGGGGACUGAGGAACGCAGCUCACUUUUUGCACGACCCUCGGGUUGUUCUGAGCUUAGGAUGCUGGUGGAAUGGCUUUAAACGACCCGUCUUGAAACACGGACCAAGGAGUCUAACAUGCUUGCGAGUGUUUGGGUGUCAAACCCGGACGCGCAAUGAAAGUGAAUGCAGGUGGGAACCGCAAGGUGCACCAUCGACCGAUCUGGAUCUUUUGAGAUGGAUUUGAGUAAGAGCAAUUAUGUUGGGACCCGAAAGAUGGUGAACUAUGCCUGAAUAGGGCGAAGCCAGAGGAAACUCUGGUGGAGGCUCGUAGCGAUUCUGACGUGCAAAUCGAUCGUCAAAUUUGGGUAUAGAGGCGAAAGACUAAUCGA
rnacentral:rRNA from 1 species